UUUAUAUUUCAUACUAAUUCAUUUUAGUUUAUUUUGCCAAAGCUUAGGUCUGUUACAGAUGCCCAUACCAUGAUAUCUCUUACGUGCUAUCCCCAACCCCUCCCUUCCUCCCUCUGCGCACCAUCGCCACCAGCUUUGCCUCUCUGGGGUCCGUGUGCAGCUCCAUCCUCUUGCUCACCUUCUACACUGGCUGUAGCAGGGAGCGGAGCUAGUGAGCAGUGUGCAGAUGAGCCACGGUGGAGGUGACUUGCUUCUCCCUCACCCUCCCCUCUCAUUGUCUGUCCUUCUUCCCACCUAGGACCCUCAAAAUCGUUUCCGCUGCAGACAGAAUGUGGCAACCAAGGGUCGGCCUCUCUCUCUGUUCCUUCGAUGCUCCUCCUCUGAGGUGAUGGUGGGCACAUUUGUCAGUUUCCUCCUUUUCAUAUAGUUCUCCUGGACUAUCCCAGGCCUGCCAGCCACCCCACUGCAGGAUGGCAGUUUUGAAAAUGAGGGGCACCCUCCAAAGAGGAUGACUUUGGGUGACAUGCAGACCCUGCGGUCAAUCAAGGAGAGUAGUGGGUAUUUCUCUUCAAUGUUCUUAUCAUGUAACAUUUAGAACGUGCCAGGCCUCUUUAAAUCAUUCAUUCCUUGAACACUCCCAAUAAUCCUAAAGGGAAAUGCUAUUUAUGAACCCAUUUUACUAAUCUGACAACUAUAACAAGAGGUUUAAGUAACUUGCUCAACAUCAGAGAGCUGAAAACUUAUCACUGAUUUAAAUCUAGCCAGCCUCUCAAGAGAAGCUGUCCAUGAUCAAGCUUUCCUUUGGCCCAGGUAUGUCGUCAGCACUUUUCUAUUGCUGGAAAUCUUUUUUUUUUUUUUUUUGAGACGGAUUCUCCCUGUGUCGGCCAGGCUGGAGUGCAGUGGCUCCAUCUCAGCUCACUGCAACCUCAAUCUCGGCUCACUGCAACCUCCGUCUCCCAGGCUCAAGCAAUUCUCCUGCCUAAGCCUCCAGAGUUAGCUGGGACUACAGGCGUGUGCCAAGAUGAUGCUUGACUCUGAGCUGGCGCAGGUGCAGGACCCACCUGCAGGGAAGAGAAAAAGGCAGUGAGCAGUGAGUGUGGUGCAGGGUUAGGAGCAGGCCCUCAGCAUCCUCAUGCUCAGUGCAUGGGAAACCUGGUACCUUGUUCUGCUCAGGCACACGGAAGCCCAGCCCCAUCUUUUCUCCACACAGGUUGUGAUAGGCAGGCGCCCUCCUAAUUUUACUCCACAAGGCCUUAUGUCAGGAAUCCUUAAGAGGCAAUGCUCCCUGCCUCCCAUCCACUUCAGGCAGCUCUAAUGCGGGACAGAGCACUGGGUCCCAGCCCAGGACCCUACUGGCUAUCUGGGUGACCCGGAGCAGGGCAGUUUUGAGCCUCAGUCCUCUAGCCUCAGAAAUGGAAGGCACUGGGAAGAUGACAACAGUCUAAGUGGUGAUGAAGGCGCUUGGCAGGAAGAAAGCACCGGAAGUGCAAAGUAAAGGAGGCCACUUUAGGGAGAGCUAACAUGCACCUCCCUCCUGCCCCGGGGACAUUCCAUCCUCUGGAAUGAAAAUGGAGAUCCUAAGGCCCGAAACCCGGUGGUCGCGUUAUCCUCAUCCCCCGCCCUGCACCUUCGUCAUCAGCUUUGCCUCUCCCGUGUCCGUGUGUAGCUCCAUCCUCGUGCUCGCCUUCUUCAUUGGCGGAAGCUGGGAGCCGAGAGAGUGAGCCGUGCGCAGAUGUGCGGCGGUGGAGGUGGCUUUUGUUUCUCCUCCGCGCCCCCUCCCCCCCCGCCCCGCACAUUGCCUGUCGCUCUUCCCACCUAGGACCCUCAAACUGGUUCCCCCUGUACACAGAACCUGGCGACCACGGAUCAUCCCCUCUCUCUUCCUUCGAUGCGAUCAUAUAACAUUUAGAUUUUGCCAGGCCCCUUUAAAUCAUUGCUUCUUUGAACCCUCCCAACAAUCCUAAAGGGAAAUACUGUUUAUGAACCCGUUUUACUAAUCUGACAAUUAUAGCAUAAAGUUUAAGUAACUUGCUCAACAUCACGGAAUGGAAAAGUUGUCACUGAUUUGAAUCCAGCCAGCCUCUCAAGAGAAAGUGUCGAUGAUCAAGCCUUCCUUUGGCCCAGGUUACAUGAAGGUCAAAUGACAUGAAGAAUGGGAAAGGAUUUUAUGAGUGUUCAAAUGUUGGGGGAGCGUCUUAUCACAGAGGACUUUCUGCAGGAGGACAUCCACACUCCUCCUGUCACUGGAUCAGCCAGGAACAUCACCACACUCAGCCAGCUGCACAAUCUGCCAUAGCUGUGUUCUGAGAACUUCUGUAAACAAAGUAAUAUUAAUUAUGGAGAUGAUGAAAUCACAAUCAAAAUUCCAAACUAAGUUCAUCUGCAACCCACGAUCACACUACAUCUUGGCGGGAAUAUGCUGGUUUGAAGUAGUCAAGGGCUGGAGUUUGAAAGAGGAACAAAUGAAGCCUGACCUUGGGAGGAACUUCCAAAGAUUCUGAGCCAACUCCCAACAGGGAGCUCUCAGGAUUCAGCGAGUGUCCUGAGUGUGCUGUCUGUCUGUGACGCCGGCUAGGCCAAGCCUGAUGGUUCCUCAUGAGAAUGUCCUGGCCUGUGCUGCUGAAGGUGUGGUCCACAGUGGGGUCAGUCUGCUGUUUCCAGUCUCCAAUGCAACUCAUCCAUGAACAUAUGUGCAGAGUUUGUAAACCUUCCAUUUUUCUGUUAUUUCUGUAUGUAUUUAUUGAUUUUUUUGUGUAAAAUGUAAAACAUGGGUUCUGUAUUUUGUGUUUCAUUAUCUUCAUAGUUAAUAUUACUUUAUUUACAAAGGUUUAGGUCUGGGAUGGAUAGAAAAUGAAAACUGUCCCUUCACCGUGGAGUUUGAGAAGCCCCGUGGAGGAUUCAAGUAAUUUAGGCAUUGGAAUCCACCUCCUGUGGUCACUUUCAAGCCUAAAAUCCGCGGAGGAUCUGAACUUGGGCAGGGAAACCUGAGAAUAAACAUGAGGAAUGGAGAAGUCUCUGUACCACGUUUAAUGAGUGGAGCUGAUCGCGUAUGUCCCCAUCCCCAUAUCAUCCAGCACAGUGCAGGUGCCUUUUACAG
rnacentral:lncRNA from 10 species